rnacentral:rRNA from 1 species
GAUGAACGCUGGCGGCGUGCUUAACACAUGCAAGUCGAACGGAAAGGCCCAAGCUUGCUUGGGUACUCGAGUGGCGAACGGGUGAGUAACACGUGGGUGAUCUGCCCUGCACUUCGGGAUAAGCCUGGGAAACUGGGUCUAAUACCGGAUAGGACCACAUUUUGGAUGGUGUGGUGGAAAGUUUUUCGGUGUGGGAUGAGCUCGCGGCCUAUCAGCUUGUUGGUGGGGUAAUGGCCUACCAAGGCGUCGACGGGUAGCCGGCCUGAGAGGGUGUACGGCCACAUUGGGACUGAGAUACGGCCCAGACUCCUACGGGAGGCAGCAGUGGGGAAUAUUGCACAAUGGGCGCAAGCCUGAUGCAGCGACGCCGCGUGGGGGAUGACGGCCCUCGGGUUGUAAACUCCUUUCGCUAGGGACGAAGCGCAAGUGACGGUACCUGGAGAAGAAGCACCGGCUAACUACGUG